AGAACGAACGCUGGCGGCGGGCUUAACACAUGCAAGUCGAGCGCCCCGCAAGGGGGAGCGGCAGACGGGUGAGUAACGCGUGGGAAUCUACCCAUCACUACGGAACAACUCCGGGAAACUGGAGCUAAUACCGUAUACGUCCUUCGGGAGAAAGAUUUAUCGGUGAUGGAUGAGCCCGCGUUGGAUUAGCUAGUUGGUGGGGUAAUGGCCUACCAAGGCGACGAUCCAUAGCUGGUCUGAGAGGAUGAUCAGCCACAUUGGGACUGAGACACGGCCCAAACUCCUACGGGAGCGAGCAGUGGGGAAUAGUUGGACAAUGGGCGAAAGCCUAGACUCCAGCCAGUGCCGCGUGAGUGAUGGAAGGCCCGUAGGGUUAGUAAACGUCGUCUUUCGAAACGGUGAAGUAUAAUAGGAACGGUAACCGUAAGAACGAACGACCCCGGACUAACGUUCGUGACCAGCACGCCGCGGUAAU
rnacentral:rRNA from 1 species